GGAGUUUUACGACAAACAGCUUAAAGUGCUCACUGCCGGAGGAACUUUCCUGGUCAAAGUGGAUUCCUCAGAGAAAUCGGAGACCAUGGUCUGCCGUUUGUCCAAUAAUCACAGGUAUCUCUUCCUAGAUGGUGAGAGUCAUUUUGAGGUGGAGCUGUCUCGCAUUUCCAGUAUGCAGGUGUUGACUGAGGGCUCAACCCCGGGAGGUGAGGCUUUAUGUGGACAAACUUUUCACAGCAAUACAAACAUUGAUUUUUGAGACAAUUCUCUGGACACUAGCCAAAUGUAAUAACAGAAAACAGGAUCAAAAACUUGUUAGUGAUUUUAGCACAUUUGCUAGCAUUGCGUACACUCUGAAUAGAUACAUUACAUUAUUUUUAUGCAUCUGAUCGACGCUUUUAUC